UCAGGGAACAUUGGCUUUUCCAACAUCCUGCAAUGUUGAACUCAAGGCUCUUUACUUACCAUGGUCUUCUCCUAGCUUGGCAGUUAACAUUAAAGAGUUGUGUUGCUAUUCCGACUCCAAGGCCGCUAUCAAAUUGAUUAUCGAAUCUGUUGACGAGUGGCAUCAUUGUACAGACUAACUAGCAAAGCUUGGAGCUCGCAACAAUGACGCUUUCUCCAUUAUGGCAAGCCUACCUG
rnacentral:lncRNA from 1 species